AAAAGAAAGGAUAAAGAUGAGUAAUUGCACAUUUGAAUUCUAAUCAAAUUUUGAAUUUAAAUGGACACCAACUCAUCCCUUAUCCACUAAAGGUGUGAGGCAUGGCUUAAAUUGUGCAUGGAGUGAUUUCAUGAGAAAUCUUUUCUCAUGUAAUAAAUGGGGCGUAAAAAAAGGGAUAAGGCACAAAGAUUGAUUGCCCAUUCAAAUUCAAACUUUAUUUUG
rnacentral:lncRNA from 1 species